UGUUUUAGUAAGUAGAUAGAACGUUUGUACUAGUUCUAAUAGUCAUACGUUACUGAUCAGAAGAUCAUAGUACCAUAAAGUGAUGUGGCUGGUAUAAAAUGCAUUAAGGCCGAAACCAUGCGUUGGGGAAGGCAGUGAAAGCCCUUUAGAAGGUUAAUACUAAACAGACAAAGAAGUAUGUCCAGAAGUUGUCUUUAUCCUUUGCAUCAUUUAUUUAAAUUGCGUGUUAACGUACUAUAAAAGCACUUAUAUUAUGAAGUAACACGGCAAUAUUUCGUAAAUGAAAAGUUUCGUUAUAACCAUGGUUUUUAUACAAAGCAUAUGGCUGUACUACAGUAUAGGAUAGGAUAGGAUUUUCUAAUGCCUAAAAAAGUUGAAUAAAUGUUCAGAACGAAGGGGUUCUUAUGGUUUUCUCUGCCGCACUAAAACAUAUGCCGGUUUGUGAUAGACCUAUUUAUGCCACAGCGUAAUAGUUAGCAAAUCUGUUUUGUGUUCUUGAGUUCUAGAGUUUGAGUUUGACUCAGUCUUAAAGUACAACAGACAUCCGUUAUUAUUUCCCUAAAAAUUGAUGCUUAUUGUGUACUCUGGACUUCAGUAAUAAUUUGUCUUUAUUAUUGUAUCAAAUUCAUUCGUUUUGCAGACAUUUUCGUCUACCUGCUUUCCAAUGAUCGAUAUUCGAUCACUGCGCACAUGAAACACCUUUGCUCUUUCUUUUCUGCAUUUUAUGUACAUUUUGGAAACUUCCCAUUACUUUGUAAUGUCGGUCAGUCUGUCUGCAAUUGACAGUGUCCGAAGUACCCUACUAGCUUCGAAUAUGCUCGAUAUGGUAGAUCUGUACCGAAUGUUGUUUGGCCGUUAUCUUGUUUGUUAUAGGUAGUGGAAUAGAAGUUACCCUUGUUACUGACUGAGUUACUGCUACGAGCACCGCCGUCGUUGUAUUGCUAAUCUUCGACUGAUAGAUGUCGUUCAGUUUCCAUAACUAGCACUGGGCUGAUCAGUGUCAUUUGUGUUGCACAUCUGUAUGUAUGAAGUGGCGCGAAAGACAGAAACGUUUCCGUGUAUGUUAGUAGUGGUUGGAACAAAUUCCCGCAGAGAAAUUAUUUUAUUUGUGAUGUGUAAAGUUGGGCACAUAAAUGAACAGGACAUUUCUAAAUGUCCUCGUUGAAUAUUUGAAGUACAUGGUAGAUUCUGGCACCUAUAUUGUGGGAAAGUGGAAGGAAGCAAACAGAUUCAAUUAUCAUGAUAUUCAGCUUUAUUUUUUGAAAACUAUGUGUGAUGAUAAGAUGAGUUACAAACCUAACAGUAACUUAACAAGUAAUCUACACUUUGGACUUAAAAGAUGAACAGGUGUAACAAGGCCAAGGCCCCAUGGCCAAAAUAUGGUGGUGGGGUUUGCAAUCUACAUAAGUCUCUGCCUGUGUGCUUUUUAAAACUGUAGUUUCAGUCGUUUUUGAUCAUGUGUCAACAAAUGUACACCUGAAAGGAACUAAUAAGCUAUAGCAACACACCACUGAGUAAUGAUGGUAUGAGUGGCCUGUGUCUGCUGUUUUUCCUGGAACAAAGAAUUUCAAAUUCUGAUGCUAGAUGACGGGAUGACAUGCAAAUCGUCUGACGUUGGAGACCUGAAUACUGAAGGGUGAAAGUCAGAAGAAUUGGACUUGCUGCUGUAUUUAUAAUAUGCCCUGAGUGCUGUCAUUGCAGUGUUUCCUCUCGCUGGCCUGAGGUAGUCACACGUUGAUAUGUGCUGCAAUCCAUCCAGCCGUGUCUGCCACCUUAUGAUAGAUCCCUGGCUGGUGAUCCACUGCACAUCCAAACCCAGCACUUGUGAUACCAGCCAGCACCCACCUGCCAUCUUGCUGCACAAUUAAUGGUCCACCAGAAUCCCCCUGAAAGUAGAACCCACGAAUUGUAGCCAGAGUGCUGGGAGGAGGCUGGUCGGGGGCUGUGAGUGUAUGCCAGACGUCCUCCACCGCUCGAUGAUUCACCUCCAGACAGAGCCGGAAACCGGACAUACCGCCUCCGGCGCCGUGAUGCUGUCAAAGAACACAAUGCAUAGCACAGCAAUUAUGAACCCUGCAGCAUGUGACGGCCCUGUCCAGCAGCUCCGUGGCCGUCUGCACCAGAACGGAUGCCUCUCGCCACUCCAGCACGCCGCUUGCCAUCGUGUCGCGGUAGGUGCGCACUUUGUCCAGC